UACGUAGGGACCAAGCGUUGUCCGGAAUUAUUGGGCGUAAAGGGCUCGUAGGCGGUUUGUCGCGUCGGGAGUGAAAACCUUGGGCUUAACUCAGGGCUUGCUUUCGAUACGGGCAGACUAGAGGUAUGCAGGGGAGAACGGAAUUCCUGGUGUAGCGGUGAAAUGCGCAGAUAUCAGGAGGAACACCGGUGGCGAAGGCGGUUCUCUGGGCAUGAUCUGACGCUGAGGAGCGAAAGUGUGGGGAGCGAACAGG
rnacentral:rRNA from 1 species